rnacentral:rRNA from 1 species
UACGUAGGGGGCUAGCGUUGUCCGGAAUCAUUGGGCGUAAAGAGCGUGUAGGCGGUCCGGUAAGUCCGCUGUGAAAGUCGGGGGCUCAACCCUCGAAUGCCGGUGGAUACUGUCGGGCUAGAGUGCGGAAGAGGCGAGUGGAAUUCCUGGUGUAGCGGUGAAAUGCGCAGAUAUCAGGAGGAACACCAAUUGCGAAGGCAGCUCGCUGGGACGUAACUGACGCUGAGACGCGAAGGCGUGGGGAGCAAACAGG